GGGUCGGUAGCUUAGAUAGUAAAGCGCCUGGUUGAAGCCCAGGAGACACGGGUUCGAGCACCGUCAGGCCCA
rnacentral:tRNA from 1 species